rnacentral:rRNA from 1 species
UACAGAGACUGCAAGCGUUAUUCGGAUUCACUGGGCGUAAAGGGUGCGUAGGCGGCGCGGUAAGUCGGGUGUGAAAUCUCGGGGCUUAACUCCGAAACUGCAUUCGAUACUGCCGUGCUUGAGGACUGGAGAGGAGACUGGAAUUUACGGUGUAGCGGUGAAAUGCGUAGAUAUCGUAAGGAAGACCAGUGGCGAAGGCGGGUCUCUGGACAGUUCCUGACGCUGAGGCACGAAGGCCAGGGGAGCAAACGGG